rnacentral:rRNA from 5 species
ACUUUUGACGGUGGAUCUCUUGGCUCACGCAUCGAUGAAGAACGCAGCCAGCUGCGAUAAGUAGUGUGAAUUGCAGAAUUCAGUGAAUCAUCGAAUCUUUGAACGCAAAUGGCGCUCUUGGGUUCUCCCAGGAGCAUGUCUGUCUGAGUGUCGGAUAU